AUGUAUUGAAUGAUUAAGGUUAAAGCUAUCAGGACACAAGAUGUAGGAAGCAAACGGUUCUAUACCCACUUUCUUGAUAGACUUGAGAAAACUUGGCAGUGGACCUGGGAAGGGACUGGUCACAGCAAAGGAACCACGCUCAUCUAUCAUUGUGUUCUACACAGAAAGGAGAAACAUAUCAGGACUGUUGUACAUCCUCCAAUGAACCAAUUCAGCCAACAAGAUGCAUCAAAAA
rnacentral:misc_RNA from 1 species